CCUACGGGAGGCAGCAGUGAGGAAUAUUGGUCAAUGGGCGAGAGCCUGAACCAGCCAAGUCGCGUGAAGGAAGAAGGUUCUAUGGAUUGUAAACUUCUUUUGCAUGGGAAUAAAGUGAGACUACCGUGUAGUUUAUUGUAUGUACCCAUGCGAAUAAGAUCG
rnacentral:rRNA from 1 species